AUAAAUAUCUCCAUUGAGAUGCCACCAUAAUAUUAUGCUUUUAUGCUAUUAAGAAUAAAUCUGAAAAAAGCAAAGACAAGGGAGUCAAAUCCAACCAAGUAUCCUCCUAGAUCCUAAUUGACUAGCCAUCACCCAAGUCAAAUAUCAUAAAGUUCUAGAAUGAUGAGAGGUUCUCGAAAAUAUCCCUCUAUACCGGAGAAAAAGAUAGCAUAUACCUUACAUGGAUGCCAAACCUCCUCUGGGAGUAAUAAGCAUUCUUGAUCAUCUUGCACCA
rnacentral:lncRNA from 1 species